rnacentral:lncRNA from 12 species
GGGGGUGAGAGCAGAAUCGGGUAUGGAUUUCCUCUUAUCCACUAACAUUAAGCUUUAAUCUUUUCCUGGAGAGAAAAGCAAGGCUACACACAUUUCUCUGGGCUCAAAAUCAGUGCAGUGCCAUAUGGCAUGAGGGGCUGUGUGAUCAUUCAGGAUACUGUACUUUUUUUUUUUUUUUUUUUUUAGGAUUUUAUUUAUUUAUUCCUGAGAGAUGCAGAGAGAGGCCAAGACAGGCAGAGAGGGAAGCAGGGUCCCCGCGGGGAGCCCGGUGCAGACCUCGAUCCCAGGACCGGGGGUCACGACAGGGGCCGGAGGCAGAUGCUCCACCGCUGAGCCCCCCAUGAGCCCCUGGAGACACUACUUUCUUUCAAGGGACACAACCUCACCCCCAGCACCCACUGGCCACCCCCAAAAGAGCUGAGCAGAGGGAUCCAUGCCGUUGCUGAAACCUGGGCAGUUCCCCGAGAUGUUUCAUGAGGGAUAAAUCAUUUGUUUUACUAUGGCUUUUACUUUAUAUAUGGAGUUUUGUUUUGUUUUUUUGGUUUGUUUUUGUUUUUUGUUUUUUUUUUUUUUUUUUAGGAUAGCAGUUUCCAAUUUCAAGGGUGGAAUUCAACCAAAACGUGUACGUUCCUGGGGUAUAAGGACGGUGAACGGCUUUUCUUUCUGCUAAAACCACCAAGAGUAUGUCAACAAGACUCUUAACACGCCGAAUAAAGAAUCCUCCUGCUAUCCUGAGAGACCAGUUAAUGCCCAAGCGCCCUGAACUUUUCCAAAAUAAAUCUCCGAUCAAACUUUCCAUCCCGAUCAAUCACCAAGUUCUGGACUUAACUUUCCUAGCAGCUCUGAAUUCAGCAUCCCCUCAUUUCUACAGACCUCCAGGCUCUGACAGAACUGGGGCCUUUGCCACCACGCUCACCCUCACCCCCGAAACGGGUCUCCGCGUCUUCCAAUCUGGUAUCAGCUGCAGGAUGACCUGGGCUAAGUCAGUUCUGUGCCUUUCGGCGGAAGGUUCAUCCAUCUGGAUGAGGGCCUGUUCUCAACAAAGUUAAAACAGAAAGCCAGUGUCUAGAAUUUCAC